rnacentral:lncRNA from 1 species
GCAUCUCGUUUUUGGGGACAGGUACUGAGUUGCUGACUGCAAUUCUUGGUUGCAUCCUUAUACGGUAGUAACUAAUAGGUAUAAAUUUCUUCCUCGUCAAAUGCAUUAAUACCUUUGUCUUUGUUCUGUUACACCUAAUAUCAGGGAGACAGUGACUCCGAGGAGGAGGUGGACGAGAUUGAGUCAGAACAAGGGAGCGAUGGUGAAAAAUCAGAAGCUUGGAAGUGGGUAAUAUCAAAUCAGUGCCGAGAAAAUGGUUGUAGUGGAGAAGAAGGAUGGCAUGAUGUUAUCUGAAACUUAGAAAAGUGUGGUGCAGAUAAGAGUUGGUG